UGGGACGUAGCCAAGCGGUAAGGCAGCGGAUUUUGAUUCCGCCAUGCGGAGGUUCGAAUCCUCCCGUCCCAG
rnacentral:tRNA from 1 species